CAAAAAUUAAAUACGACGCCAUUUUGAUGUAAAACUGGUUAGGGUUUCUUGUGAGAUCAUUCGGCUCGUUAUUAAACACUUGAACCGGAGUUGGCGUGAACAGAAGAAAACCUAAAUUCUUGCUUUUGUUCAUCCGCUUCCUCUUCUUCGAUGGAUGAGAAAUUGGCAACAUCAGCUUCGAAAAUUCCGAAACGAGCUUCUAUAAAAUCCCAACCCGAUUUCGAUUACUCUAUCCGCAAGCAAAAGCUCAGAGAAAGUUGCUUCAGAAGAGUUAGAGAAGAAAGGACACGUCUGCUGUGGAAAUUGAGGCACUCUGAUUGUGAAUCUUCAGAUCAGAAGGAGAUUAUCAAUUCUGCUUUCCAGGACAUUGUUUCUGAUGAAUUAAAAAAAAUUGAGGAUUCCCAUGAUAUAUUGUGGGAAUAUGAAGGCCCAGAAGAUGCUUAUGAAGGUGAUAGUGAAGAGAUAUUGCUAGAAAUGCAACAUAUGUUUUACAAUGAUUUGAUUUCAGAGACUGGUAAACCAUUUACUCUCUCUCUCCUUCCGAUUUGGCGGAGUUGGAUUUUGAUGCAUUGUUGUGGCUACUUACUUCUUCUUCCAGGAUCAUAUGCUCAGGCUGAAACAUGGGAUGAAGAGGAAGAUGAGUACUUGGCCACCUUAGUCUCUCAGAAUAUGCUUUUAAACACUGAACAGGAGCCAAACCAGAUAUGGUGUCCGAUCUGCAAGCAAGGCGAGGUUAUGGAGAAUCACCGACAUAUCUAUUGCAGCAUGUGUGAAAUGCAGCUGAUCAAAGGCGAAGAGGUUAACCUGAACAUUCUGCAAGAACGGUUAGCGGAAGUGCACGCUGAACAUUUCGAGAGAGGAUGCAGAUUGAAACCAAAGUUCAGUGUUCAGAGUCUCUAUAAUUUGAAGGCAUUGUACAUCACAUGUGAAGCUUGUAGUGCCUUUGAGGUCGUUGUCUAAGUUCUAACGUAAUGAUACUCAUAAUUUUUGGUAUAUAUUAGCUUUUGAGAUCAUCAUGCUUAGUGGAAUCCUGCGUACGUUGCUAACAGUAUUCUGAUUUCUCAGUAUAGCUACAUUAACCGUAGUAGAUACCAUCUUUUAAUCUUUGUUCAUGUUUAUGUUGAGAUUCUUCUGAUAUCAGAUUAGUAGAAUAUUCCAUGAUUUGGGGUGUUACAAUGGGAUUUGUGAACACUUGAAAGCUUUU